rnacentral:rRNA from 1 species
AACGAACGCUGGCGGCAUGCCUAACACAUGCAAGUCGAACGAGACCUUCGGGUCUAGUGGCGCACGGGUGCGUAACGCGUGGGAACCCGCCCUUAGGUUCGGAAUAACUCCCCGAAAGGGGUGCUAAUACCGGAUAAUGUCUUCGGACCAAAGAUUUAUCGCCUUUGGAUGGGCCCGCGUUGGAUUAGCUAGUUGGUAGGGUAAAAGCCUACCAAGGCGACGAUCCAUAGCUGGUCUGAGAGGAUGAUCAGCCACACUGGGACUGAGACACGGCCCAGACUCCUACGGGAGGCAGCAGUGGGGAAUAUUGGACAAUGGGCGAAAGCCUGAUCCAGCAAUGCCGCGUGAGUGAUGAAGGCCUUAGGGUUGUAAAACUCUUUUACCCGGGAUGAUAAUGACAGUACCGGGAGAAUAAGCUCCGGCUAACUCCGUG